AGAGUUUGAUCAUGGCUCAGAUUGAACGCUGGCGGCAGGCCUAACACAUGCAAGUCGAGCGGUAGCACAGAGAGCUUGCUCUCGGGUGACGAGCGGCGGACGGGUGAGUAAUGUCUGGGAAACUGCCUGAUGGAGGGGGAUAACUACUGGAAACGGUAGCUAAUACCGCAUAAUGUCGCAAGACCAAAGUGGGGGACCUUCGGGCCUCAUGCCAUCAGAUGUGCCCAGAUGGGAUUAGCUAGUAGGUGGGGUAACGGCUCACCUAGGCGACGAUCCCUAGCUGGUCUGAGAGGAUGACCAGCCACACUGGAACUGAGACACGGUCCAGACUCCUACGGGAGGCAGCAGUGGGGAAUAUUGCACAAUGGGCGCAAGCCUGAUGCAGCCAUGCCGCGUGUGUGAAGAAGGCCUUCGGGUUGUAAAGCACUUUCAGCGGGGAGGAAGGCGGUGAGGUUAAUAACCUUGUCGAUUGACGUUACCCGCAGAAGAAGCACCGGCUAACUCCGUGCCAGCAGCCGCGGUAAUACGGAGGGUGCAAGCGUUAAUCGGAAUUACUGGGCGUAAAGCGCACGCAGGCGGUCUGUCAAGUCGGAUGUGAAAUCCCCGGGCUCAACCUGGGAACUGCAUUCGAAACUGGCAGGCUAGAGUCUUGUAGAGGGGGGUAGAAUUCCAGGUGUAGCGGUGAAAUGCGUAGAGAUCUGGAGGAAUACCGGUGGCGAAGGCGGCCCCCUGGACAAAGACUGACGCUCAGGUGCGAAAGCGUGGGGAGCAAACAGGAUUAGAUACCCUGGUAGUCCACGCCGUAAACGAUGUCGAUUUGGAGGUUGUGCCCUUGAGGCGUGGCUUCCGGAGCUAACGCGUUAAAUCGACCGCCUGGGGAGUACGGCCGCAAGGUUAAAACUCAAAUGAAUUGACGGGGGCCCGCACAAGCGGUGGAGCAUGUGGUUUAAUUCGAUGCAACGCGAAGAACCUUACCUGGUCUUGACAUCCACAGAACUUUCCAGAGAUGGAUUGGUGCCUUCGGGAACUGUGAGACAGGUGCUGCAUGGCUGUCGUCAGCUCGUGUUGUGAAAUGUUGGGUUAAGUCCCGCAACGAGCGCAACCCUUAUCCUUUGUUGCCAGCGGU
rnacentral:rRNA from 1 species